AUAAGUAACAGAUGGUAUCAAUAAGUCACAAGGCUUUCUUUGUCCGAGAGCUCUGGAAUGUGGAUUCGGGGGUCUUGUCCUUAUAUGGCUAGAGGUAAACGCUGACGUUAGUAUUAGCACUUCUAUAUAGUAACAGAGGGACACGAAGUCUCUGUCUUGGUUUGAGUCUUGGCUCUGUACAACGAUGUAACUCUUCCAUCAGAAGUCCAGCAAUUACCAUCUGCUGUUGAAUGUCCAUAAUCCUGUAACAUCCUUUAUUAUGUAUCCGUAACAAAGAAUAAACCUGAAGAAACCGUAAGUCAGAUUGCG